ensembl:lncRNA
CAAAACAGCGAAUUUGGGGGAAGCUCAAAUUUCGGGAACGUCUUUGAAUACUGUUAGUGGCCCACUAAUACCUAUAUUAAAGCAUCCAUAAAAUAGCAUUUCAUGGCACCUUUAAUCUUUAAAAAAUAUGUAUUUUGGCAAGUUGUUUUUCUUCUAAAAUGUACCCUGCCUAUUUAAAAUGAGAAAAUAUAGAUAACGUUUAUGACUUUGAUGUUCAAAGAACAGGAUGAGAAGGGAAUGUAGCCUAUACUUGCCCUUGCUCCAAAACAAAGUUAAUUAUUUGAAUGGGAUGAUUCACUCUUUGAAUGGGAUGAUUCACUCUAUCAUGUACUGGUUGACAGAUGCCCUCAUCUAUUAAUUUAUCUAUUGUUGCAGGAGAAUUUAAAGCGCCCCCAUUUUCCCAGCAGGUGUGAGUAUGAAUAGCCUUUUAAAGCCAUUUCUAAAUCCAUCUUGUGUCAUGGCUUGUACUGGUUAAUCCCACUCACCUGGUGGUAAACCACCUGUUUAAAAUAGAUUGGAUUAAAGUAAACAAGAGUUUUGGGAAGGAUUUGUUUUUACCCAUUUGGUAACGUUUUUCGGUCAGUCUUUGUCUAGGAGUGUUAUAAUUAGCGAUAUUGUAUAUGAAAAUGGCCACACACUGACGUACUAGGUGUUUGAGAAGCUUAAAGGAAACAUUAUACCACCAGGGGAGUGUGAUUAGCCUUACAAGCCGUUUCGAAAAUCUGCCUCAUAUGACAUCACUAGCCUAGAUCUGUGCUGGAUAGAUCAGUCUACCAGCCUACCCAGUGGGCCAAAGUAAAUGUUGCUCAAUAUGUCUCCUUUAAGGCUCUCGGAAACUGACUUUAAAAAAAACUGCUGCCCGCUAACAGAAAAACAUAUAGCAUUGAUUACAAUGUUGACUAUCAAAUUACAUUAACAAGUUUAAGACGAAAGAAAAAGCAUGUGUUCCAUGUGCUCCUUUUUAAUCAGACCAAUGUUUGAGGAAAAAAAUCCAUAUCCACAUUUUUUUUUGCAAGGUGUUCGGUUAAAGGGUACAUUUUAUGCCACCAGGUGUGAGUGUGAUUAGCUGCAUAUUUGCAAAAAGUCUUGCAAUGGUUAAUCACACUCACACCUGGUGGUAUAAUAUGUCCCCUUUAACGUUUUUCAACCUGUCUAAAACCAUCCAGCACUAGCGAGUUCUCUGAUCUACCUAAUCGUCUAGUAUUUAAACAAGUAUGUGUCUUAUAGGAGAAAUUGCCUAUAUGGAUAUAGUUAUUAAAAAUGUUAAGCUAAAUCAGAUUUUUUUCUGGUCGAAAUUAUCUAAAGCCCUAAUUGAACCAUUAAAUACAUGUAUUCGUUUUUAAAGUAAUGUCACAUUUUUCAACUCUGCUAAAUGGUGGCGCUUAUUGCAUUAAAAAAAGUCAAACACCUUUUGAAAAUAUCAACGCUUUAAUAAUGAGAGCGGUUUUACAAGACUGCAUGUCUAGCUAGCUAAGUGAUGGCUGCUGUUGACAUCCUGGGUGUUUUUACGCAGAUGCGGCAAGGAAAACCGUGUUUGAAGAUCCAACGGUGUGAUGGACAGGUUGCAUAUCUGCAUGCUAGGCACCCUUCAAUCAGUUAACUUGUGCCACAUCUUCUAAAAACAGAUGAUUAUGAAUGUCAAUGAAUGUUCAUGUAAAGAGGUAAGUAAAAAAAAAAAAUCUCAUGGAGAAAUUUCCUAAACAUUUUAAAAACACACCGGUAAGUGAGAAUUCACAAUGGUCAUGCUUUUACCGGACACACAAGCCAAUAAAAAGACGACACUUAAUCAUGCAAAUAAAGACCAUUUCCUCAUCUCUGAAAUAAAUGUAAAAAAUAAAGAAGGAAAUCAAAUCCUUUUGAGUUCUGUGGAGUUCGUCCUUAUGACCUUGGGAGUAAGAAGAAGCUGCGCUUUGAUGAUGACUUUGGUGCAAAAAAUGUUCCUGGUUGGAAGAGGACAGACCCUGUCCUGUCCGCUUCCUUGAUGAAGACACUCUUGGUUUAGACCAGUUGUGAUAAGAGUUGAUCUUUGAACCCAACCCCCCCCCCUUCCUUUUGCAAGAUGAACACAAAACGUCACAAACAUCAACCCGCCC